AAUAAAUAAUGAAAAUUUAUAUAUAUAUAUUAAAUAAGGUAUUAAAUGUUAAAUCAUUAAAGUUAUAAGAUUUGGCGGUGUUUUAUAAAAUUAGAGGAAUCUGUAAUUUAAUUGAUGAUCCACGAUAAGAAAAACUUAAUAUUAUUAUUUAUGUAUUGCUGUUUUAAAAAUUUUAUUAAGUAAAAUUUUAUUUUUAAAAUUUUAAUUUAAUUCAAGUCAAAAUAUAGUUUAUUUAAGUAAUUUAUGGAUUACAUUUUUUUAUAAAUAAUGAAUAUUUUAAUUUAAAUUAAAAUUGAAAUUGGAUUUAAUAGUAAAUUUAAUUAAUUAAUUAAUUUGAAUUAAUAUGUAAAAUGUGU
rnacentral:rRNA from 1 species